GAAGGAUCAUUAAAGAGUAAGGGUGCUCAGCGCCCGACCUCCAACCCUUUGUUGUUAAAACUACCUUGUUGCUUUGGCGGGACCGCUCGGUCUCGAGCCGCUGGGGAUUCGUCCCAGGCGAGCGCCCGCCAGAGUUAAACCAAACUCUUGUUAUUAAACCGGUCGUCUGAGUUAAAAUUUUGAAUAAAUCAAAACUUUCAACAACGGAUCUCUUGGUUCUCGCAUCGAUGAAGAACGCAGCGAAAUGCGAUAAGUAAUGUGAAUUGCAGAAUUCAGUGAAUCAUCGAAUCUUUGAACGCACAUUGCGCCCCUUGGUAUUCCGAGGGGCAUGCCUGUUCGAGCGUCAUUACACCACUCAAGCUAUGCUUGGUAUUGGGUGCCGUCCUUAGUUGGGCGCGCCUUAAAGACCUCGGCGAGGCCUCACCGGCUUUAGGCGUAGUAGAAUUUAUUCGAACGUCUGUCAAAGGAGAGGACUUCUGCCGACUGAAACCUUUUAUUUUUCUAGGUUGACCUCGGAUCAGGUAGGGAUACCCGCUGAACUUAAGCAUAUAU
rnacentral:misc_RNA from 1 species